rnacentral:ncRNA from 1 species
UGAUAGCGAAGAAGCAUAAGGUUGCUGCAACGGAAAAUACAUAAUCCCUGCAGGUUUUUAUGCGGAGCGAAUGUCAAGUUAGUAAACUGACGACAA